rnacentral:rRNA from 1 species
CCUACGGGAGGCAGCAGUGGGGAAUAUUGGACAAUGGGCGAAAGCCUGAUCCAGCAAUGCCGCGUGAGUGAUGAAGGCCUUAGGGUUGUAAAGCUCUUUUACCAGGGAUGAUAAUGACAGUACCUGGAGAAUAAGCUCCGGCUAACUCCGUGCCAGCAGCCGCGGUAAUACGGAGGGAGCUAGCGUUGUUCGGAAUUACUGGGCGUAAAGCGUACGUAGGCGGUUAUUCAAGUCAGAGGUGAAAGCCUGGAGCUCAACUCCAGAACUGCCUUUGAAACUAGAUAGCUAGAAUCUUGGAGAGGUGAGUGGAAUUCCGAGUGUAGAGGUGAAAUUCGUAGAUAUUCGGAAGAACACCAGUGGCGAAGGCGACUCACUGGACAAGUAUUGACGCUGAGGUACGAAAGCGUGGGGAGCAAACAGGAUUAGAUACCCUGGUAGUCCACGCCGUAAACGAUGAUAACUAGCUGUUCGGGCUCUACGAGCUUGAGUGGCGCAGCUAACGCAUUAAGUUAUCCGCCUGGGGAGUACGGUCGCAAGAUUAAAACUCAAAAUUGAAAUUGAACGG